GAAAAACUGAAGUUGUCAAUCUAGUAAUAAUGAAUAAUAAAAAAUUAAUAAAUCAGUAAUCAUCCAAUCAAUAAUCCAUAAAAAACGAAAUAAAAAGGCAAGCAGUAAUCCUCAGCGCACUUAAGCACAAAGGUGUGCAAUACAAUAGCAAAUUUUGGAGAGUUUUCAAACACUAAAUAAAAUAUCACUAGAAUGAGAAAAUCGGCGGCUUCAAGGAGUUACUACGGAUUUUUUUCGGAUACGAGGAGCUAGAUUAAUCUCAUGUGAUCAUCGUUUUCUUUUAAGUUCCAGUUUCUUGACCGAUAUCGAAUAAUUGAAAGAUGCUUCUCGGUCUAGUUGACCUAAUUCCCAAGAAAGUCACACAUUUUUAAAUCUUUUCCUUUUGACUUUUUUCACUCUUCUAAUUACUGGUGUCUCCAAUAACAUCAUGAGCUUUAGAAAGUCCAUAGAAAAUACGACCCUUACUGUCUGUUUGUCCAUUUACUACCACUAAUUUUUCCAGUCUAAAGUUUCACACUGAAACUAUGAUUACAGACAUUCUAAUUGGGAAUAUUUCAGUAAUUCAAAGCUAAUUUAAAUCAUCUCUUGUUAACUGUUUUGGCUAUUUUUUGACUCGAUAUAUUGCACAUACACAAUGUAAGUGAGUUAAUAAUUAAAGGAACAAAUAAAAACUCGAAUCAUACAAAAACAAGUUUCAAGUACAUUUGCAAGUCCCCGUAAUUCGGUUUAAUGGCUCCAUUUCAAUUAACACAUGGAAAUACACGAAAAGCAAUGGACAUUUAUUAUAAGAGCCCAAAAUAAAAUAAUAUGUACGAUAUUUUAUUGGAGAAAUCAAUGAUCAAAAUAUGUGUCAAUCAUCUAAAUUAAAUUGGUUUAUUUCAUCAUGA